rnacentral:tRNA from 1 species
GUGAUAGCUCAAUUGGUAGAGUUCCGGCCUUCCAAGCCGGUUGUUGCGGGUUCAAGUCCCGUUCA